UUAAGUGACUAAGCGUACACGGUGGAUGCCUGGGCAGUCAGAGGCGAUGAAGGACGUACUAACUUGCGAUAAGCGCAGAUAAGGCAGUAAGAGCCGUUUGAGUCUGCGAUUUCCGAAUGGGGAAACCCAACUGCAUAAGCAGUUACUGUUAACUGAAUACAUAGGUUAACAGAGCAAACCGGGGGAACUGAAACAUCUAAGUACCCCGAGGAGAAGAAAUCAACCGAGAUUCCGGUAGUAGCGGCGAGCGAACCUGGAUUAGCCCUUAAGCACUCGGUGAAGUAGGUGAACAAGCUGGAAAGCUUGGCGAUACAGGGUGAUAGCCCCGUAACCGACGCUUCAUCGAGCGUGAAAUCGAGUAGGGCGGGACACGUGAUAUCCUGUCUGAAUAUGGGGGGACCAUCCUCCAAGGCUAAAUACUCCUGACUGACCGAUAGUGAACCAGUACCGUGAGGGAAAGGCGAAAAGAACCCCGGCGAGGGGAGUGAAAAAGAACCUGAAACCGUGUACGUACAAGCAGUGGGAGCACGCUUAGGCGUGUGACUGCGUACCUUUUGUAUAAUGGGUCAGCGACUUAUAUUCUGUAGCAAGGUUAACCGAAUAGGGGAGCCGAAGGGAAACCGAGUCUUAACUGGGCGUUAAGUUGCAGGGUAUAGACCCGAAACCCGGUGAUCUAGCCAUGGGCAGGUUGAAGGUUGGGUAACACUAACUGGAGGACCGAACCGACUAAUGUUGAAAAAUUAGCGGAUGACUUGUGGCUGGGGGUGAAAGGCCAAUCAAACCGGGAGAUAGCUGGUUCUCCCCGAAAGCUAUUUAGGUAGCGCCUCGUGAAUUCAUCUCCGGGGGUAGAGCACUGUUUCGGCAAGGGGGUCAUCCCGACUUACCAACCCGAUGCAAACUGCGAAUACCGGAGAAUGUUAUCACGGGAGACACACGGCGGGUGCUAACGUCCGUCGUGAAGAGGGAAACAACCCAGACCGCCAGCUAAGGUCCCAAAGUCAUGGUUAAGUGGGAAACGAUGUGGGAAGGCCCAGACAGCCAGGAUGUUGGCUUAGAAGCAGCCAUCAUUUAAAGAAAGCGUAAUAGCUCACUGGUCGAGUCGGCCUGCGCGGAAGAUGUAACGGGGCUAAACCAUGCACCGAAGCUGCGGCAGCGACGCUGAUGCGUUGUUGGGUAGGGGAGCGUUCUGUAAGCCUGUGAAGGUGUGCUGUGAGGCAUGCUGGAGGUAUCAGAAGUGCGAAUGCUGACAUAAGUAACGAUAAAGCGGGUGAAAAGCCCGCUCGCCGGAAGACCAAGGGUUCCUGUCCAACGUUAAUCGGGGCAGGGUGAGUCGACCCCUAAGGCGAGGCCGAAAGGCGUAGUCGAUGGGAAACAGGUUAAUAUUCCUGUACUUGGUGUUACUGCGAAGGGGGGACGGAGAAGGCUAUGUUGGCCGGGCGACGGUUGUCCCGGUUUAAGCGUGUAGGCUGGUUUUCCAGGCAAAUCCGGAAAAUCAAGGCUGAGGCGUGAUGACGAGGCACUACGGUGCUGAAGCAACAAAUGCCCUGCUUCCAGGAAAAGCCUCUAAGCAUCAGGUAACAUCAAAUCGUACCCCAAACCGACACAGGUGGUCAGGUAGAGAAUACCAAGGCGCUUGAGAGAACUCGGGUGAAGGAACUAGGCAAAAUGGUGCCGUAACUUCGGGAGAAGGCACGCUGAUAUGUAGGUGAAGUCCCUUGCGGAUGGAGCUGAAAUCAGUCGAAGAUACCAGCUGGCUGCAACUGUUUAUUAAAAACACAGCACUGUGCAAACACGAAAGUGGACGUAUACGGUGUGACGCCUGCCCGGUGCCGGAAGGUUAAUUGAUGGGGUUAGCGCAAGCGAAGCUCUUGAUCGAAGCCCCGGUAAACGGCGGCCGUAACUAUAACGGUCCUAAGGUAGCGAAAUUCCUUGUCGGGUAAGUUCCGACCUGCACGAAUGGCGUAAUGAUGGCCAGGCUGUCUCCACCCGAGACUCAGUGAAAUUGAACUCGCUGUGAAGAUGCAGUGUACCCGCGGCAAGACGGAAAGACCCCGUGAACCUUUACUAUAGCUUGACACUGAACAUUGAGCCUUGAUGUGUAGGAUAGGUGGGAGGCUUUGAAGUGUGGACGCCAGUCUGCAUGGAGCCGACCUUGAAAUACCACCCUUUAAUGUUUGAUGUUCUAACGUUGACCCGUAAUCCGGGUUGCGGACAGUGUCUGGUGGGUAGUUUGACUGGGGCGGUCUCCUCCUAAAGAGUAACGGAGGAGCACGAAGGUUGGCUAAUCCUGGUCGGACAUCAGGAGGUUAGUGCAAUGGCAUAAGCCAGCUUGACUGCGAGCGUGACGGCGCGAGCAGGUGCGAAAGCAGGUCAUAGUGAUCCGGUGGUUCUGAAUGGAAGGGCCAUCGCUCAACGGAUAAAAGGUACUCCGGGGAUAACAGGCUGAUACCGCCCAAGAGUUCAUAUCGACGGCGGUGUUUGGCACCUCGAUGUCGGCUCAUCACAUCCUGGGGCUGAAGUAGGUCCCAAGGGUAUGGCUGUUCGCCAUUUAAAGUGGUACGCGAGCUGGGUUUAGAACGUCGUGAGACAGUUCGGUCCCUAUCUGCCGUGGGCGUUGGAAGAUUGAAGGGGGCUGCUCCUAGUACGAGAGGACCGGAGUGGACGAACCUCUGGUGUUCGGGUUGUGUCGCCAGACGCAUUGCCCGGUAGCUAAGUUCGGAAUUGAUAAGCGCUGAAAGCAUCUAAGCGCGAAGCGAGCCCUGAGAUGAGUCUUCCCUGACAGUUUAACUGUCCUAAAGGGUUGUUCGAGACUAGAACGUUGAUAGGCAGGGUGUGUAAGCGUUGUGAGGCGUUGAGCUAACCUGUACUAAUUGCCCGUGAGGCUUAACCAU
rnacentral:rRNA from 1 species